rnacentral:rRNA from 1 species
CCAAUAGCGUAUACUAAAGUUGUUGCAGUUAAAAAGCUCGUAGUUGAAUUUCGGGGUUAGUACGCUGGUCGUGCCUUCGGUAUGUACUGGUGUUACUGAUUCCUACCUUCUGAAGAACCGUCAUGUCAUUAAUUUGGUGUGGCGGGGAAUCAGGACUGUUACUUUGAAAAAAUUAGAGUGUUUAAAGCAGGCUCGCGCUUGAAUACAUUAGCAUGGAAUAAUGAAAUAGGACGUUUGAUCCUAUUUUGUUGGUUUCUAGGAUUGACGUAAUGAUUAAUAGGGAUAGUUGGGGGCAUUAGUAUUCAAUUGUCAGAGGUGAAAUUCUUGGAUUUAUUGAAGACUAACUACUGCGAAAGCAUUUGCCAAGGAUGUUUUCAUUAAUCAAGAACGAAAGUUAGGGGAUCGAAGACGAUCGGAUACCGUCGUAGUCUUAACCAUAAACUAUGCCGACUAGGGAUCGGAUGAUGUUAAUUUUUUAAUGACUCAUUCGGCGCCUUACG